rnacentral:lncRNA from 1 species
UAGAAUGUUGAAUCACUAUAUUACAUAGAAUUCUCUCUUGGAAUGUGAGAGUCUAAGAGACCUACACGAAGCUAAUAAACAUGUAAUUACUUCUUGAAGACUCGAUUGAGUAUGCCUUUAAGAGUUUUAAGAACGCUUUUUGAACCAGUUGGCUUAUUGUGAUUUAGCAACAAUUCACCCUUGUUUUGGGCUAAAUUUUUAGCCUAAAAUUCUCGGGCUUGUUGCAGUUUAAAAGUUUAUCAGCAACCACAAUGAACUUUGAAUUUUUACUGUACCCUGAUUUGAAAAAGAUUGCUAGAUGGAAAAAGUGUAUGAUAGAAGAGGGUUGGAGACCAUGCCUUCAGGUCCUCCAUGGGUCUCUAGACUAAGCCUCAAAGUGGACUUGCACACAGAACACAAGAUCAAACAACCAACCUUCCCAUCCUUUCUCACUUCUCUUCUGUUUCAGCUCCAUGGAUGACUGGCAACUAAGCCUUCCUCUUCAAUAUUUGACUGGCAUGGGGAAACCAAACCUCUCUCCUUCCUUUAGACUGAGAUCAAACACCACCAGACAAACUUCCAAGAAAAUUCUUCACCAUCCACAUUCCUUUGUUCUUUCAAGAAUCAAUAGUCUCUUGGUGCGUCUUUCAUUUUU